UUUGUACUCCCUCCGUCCCAAAAUUCUUGUCUUAAAUUUGUCUAAAUACGGAUGUAUCUAGUUACAUUUUAGUGUUAGAUACAUUCGUAUCUAAACAAAUGUAAGACAAGAAUUUUGGGACGGAGGGAAUACUAC
rnacentral:pre_miRNA from 1 species